CGAGUUCCCAUACGAUCACUGAAGUUAAGCAACGUCGAGCCUGGUCACUAUCUAGAUAGGUGACCGGUUUGGAAUACCAGGUGCUGUAAG